GCUUUCCUUUCAAAACUAUCUUUAAAGGGAGGGAUGUCAAAAGUUUGCUUCAAACACGUGCGUCGCAAAGAUGUAAAUAAAUUCUGUAUGUGACAUUUAUAGCGGAAGCCAUUUGACCAUAUCAUUUUGUGAAACAAUUCAAUCAACACCUUUAUUAAUUAGUCCUUUGUUGUCGAUAGCUAUAAAAUGCAAUCAGCUGAUUAUUGAUUUUCUGUCUAAAUCUUAAUGAGGUCAAGGUGAAUUCCGAGUAUUGUCUGAUCGGGUAAAGUCCGAGAAACUCGAAAAAAAA
rnacentral:lncRNA from 1 species